rnacentral:rRNA from 1 species
CAAUAGCGUAUAUUAAAGUUGUUGCGGUUAAAAAGCUCGUAGUUGGAUUUCUGCUGAGGAUGACCGGUCCGCCCUCCGGGUGAGUAUCUGGCUCAGCCUUGGCAUCUUCCUGAAGAACGUAACUGCACUUGACUGUGUGGUGCGGUAUUUAGGACAUUUACUUUGAGGAAAUUAGAGUGUUUCAAGCAAGCGCACGCCUUGAAUACAUUAGCAUGGAAUAAUAAGAUAGGACCUCGGUUCUAUUUUGUUGGUUUCUAGAGCUGAGGUAAUGAUUGAUAGGGAUAGUUGGGGGCAUUCGUAUUUAACUGUCGGAGGUGAAAUUCUUGGAUUUGUUAAAGACGGACUACUGCGAAAGCAUUUGCCAAGGAUGUUUUCAUUGA